rnacentral:rRNA from 2 species
AUGGGGGCAACCCUGAUCCANCCAUGCCGCGUGUGUGAAGAAGGCCNUCGGGUUGUAAAGCACUUUCAGCGAGGAAGAACGCCUGGCGGUUAAUACCCGCCAGGAAAGACAUCACUCGCAGAAGAAGCACCGGCUAACUCCGUGCCAGCAGCCGCGGUAAUACGGAGGGUGCAAGCGUUAAUCGGAAUNACUGGGCGUAAAGCGCGCGUAGGUGGCUUGAUAAGCCGGUUGUGAAAGCCCCGGGCUCAACCUGGGAACGGCAUCCGGAACUGUCAGGCUAGAGUGCAGGAGAGGAAGGUAGAAUUCCCGGUGUAGCGGUGAAAUGCGUAGAGAUCGGGAGGAAUACCAGUGGCGAAGGCGGCCUUCUGGACUGACACUGACACUGAGGUGCGAAAGCGUGGGUAGCAAACAGGAUUAGAUACCCUGGUAGUCCACGCCGUAAAACGAUGUCGACCAGCCGUUGGGUGCCUAGNGCNCUUUGUGGCG